rnacentral:rRNA from 1 species
ACGGAAGGCAGCAGUGGGGAAUACUGCGCAAUGGAGGCAACUCUGACGCAGCAACGCCGUGUGCAGGAUGACGGCCUUCGGGUUGUAAACUGCUUUCAGUAGGGAAGAAGUAAUUGACGGUACCUACACAAGAAGCUCCGGCUAACUACGUGCCAGCAGCCGCGAUAACACGUAGGGAGCAAGCGUUAUCCGGAUUCAUUGGGCGUAAAGCGCGCGCAGGCGGAUUUUUAAGCGGAACUUUUAACCCGAGGGCUCAACCCCCGGUCGGGUUCCGAACUGGAAAUCUUGAGUGCGGUAGGGGCAGGCGGAAUUCCAUGUGUAGCGGCGAAAUGCGCAGAUAUAUGGAAGAACACCGAUGGCGAAGGCAGCCUGCUGGGCCGACACUGACGCUCAGGUGCGAAAGCUAGGGGAGCAAACAGGAUUAGAUACCCUGGUA